rnacentral:lncRNA from 11 species
AUUUUAUGGGGGAAUCAUUGGACAAUAAUAUAUGUGAACUGAAUCUGGGACUCAUCCUUGCCUUUGUUUUCCCAUUGAAGCCGAAACGGGCGACUCGGAGGAGAACCGGAUGUCGCUGGAAGUGCAGGACUCCUUCUCGUUCUUGGACAGCCAAGAGGCCUGGCUGGAAGACCCCCAGAAGAGCCCUUUCGGGGGUCCCGUCAACACAGCCGACCACAGCCUGGACCUUGGUCCUUUGGUGGAGGACGACAUGGGCUCCGGGAUCAUGAACCAGAUCAUCGGCGGCGCCAUGCAGCUGGAGAUGUUCUCAUCUCUUCCGCCGCUGAACUACCUGUCCAUCGAGGAGUGCAUGAACGAGCAUUCGGACGAGGAGGACGACCAAUAUUACCUGGCCAUGAGCUGCCCGGAUGUCAAGGAGGCGGACCCCGAGGAGGUCUACCUGAGUGCUUUCGAUGACCUCAGCCCUUUGGCCAACGCAACAGAGCGGUCAGACGGGAGGAGAGACGAGGAAGACGGAUCCACAACUUUCACAAGAGGUCCAGGAGACUCAACCGACCCCUGUUUCUUUGGACGGAAAACUCCGUCUCACGACUCGCCCGAUUCUCGCCGACAACCCGAAUCACACGAUCCAAAUGAGUCCACGAUUUUGCCAACGUGUCUUCCAGAAUCAACCAAGCAGACCAGGAAAGAGUCAGAUGUUUUAUUGACCUGUCUUCCAGAAUCAACUGAUCAAACCAGGAAAGAGUCAGUUGUUUUCUCAACGAGUCGUCCGGAAUCAACCUACCAGUCCGGGAAAGAGCCAGCGGUAUCUCCAAAUCCGAAUUUUCGUUUACACGAAUCAACAAAGCUCCAGAAAGAAAGUUUCGUCUUGGAAUCAAGAGACAACUUACAGAUGGAGACAACUCAGCGAGCCUUAAGGAAAUGUCUCCCAAAAACUACGGGUCUGGAGAUGUCUUCUCCAAGCCUUGAAGACGAGUGGAAGCUCAGACCUCAAAACGAGAAGACGGACCUUUCCUCGGCAGGACUCACUAAAAGUUCUGACCGCUAUAUGGAGCUUGAUGAGAUGGAUCUACUUUGGAUUGAAGACUUGGACCCGUCUCUUGUGGAACAUCUCACCACGUUUGAUAGCCAUCUACCUUCUUCGUUGGACCAAAGUUCUGGAGAUCGUUCUUCGGCUCUUCAUGAUGUUUAUUCACAAGGUGGUUCCAUAGAACCUGACGUCACAUCACUUGAGGUUCUUCUCCCGAAGUCUCAUCAUGAAGCUCCAAAGGUCUCUGAGACCGAUACGGAUCUACUUUGGAUUGAAGACUUGGACCCGUCUCUUGUGGAACAUCUCACCACAUUUGAUAGCCAUCUAUCUUCUUCGUUGGACCAAAGUUCUGGAGAUCGUUCUUCGGCUCUUCAUGAUGUUUAUUCACAAGGUGGUUCCAUAGAACCUGACGUCACAUCACUUGAGGUUCUUCUCCCAGAGUCUCGUCACGAAGCUCCAAAGGUCUCCGAGACCGAGCUUUCCGACGGAAGCGUCCACAUGAGGUUGACCUCCAGCACCGUCCGUGUCCAGCAAGCCAAGUCCUUCCCUGUCAUCCCACCGAAGCCCCAGUUCGCGAGGAUCCCGCCGUCAACGCCUAAAAUCCUCACCGAAAACGGGUCAACUCUUUCCACCAGUUUCGACGCUCGUUGUAUCGCGAAGAACGACGUCAACAACUCGGAGUUCGUUCUGGACUCGUUCGAGCCACCUGCAACUUCGGCUCGCUUCCAGAAGCAAAGGAACUCGAUGCCCGGGAGUUUGGAGACAUUUGGCGAGGUGGAGAUCCGGAAAGGACAUGACACAGAGCUAUCGCUGGAGAAAUACAAUCUUUGGGCCGAAGUUUAUGGUGGAGAAGACCUCCAUCUGAUAAAGUCCUUUGCCGCUGAGGGUUUGGAACGUUAUGGACCUCAAAGAAGGACAAGUGAGCCUUCUCCAAACCCUAUAGAAGGUCCAUGGAGAGCUGAUGGGACAAGGGGUCCUUCUCCAAAGCCUAUAGAAGGUCUCAGCUCUGCAUGGAAGCACCAUGGGACAACAGAUCCCUCUCAAAGCCCUAUAGAAGGUCAACAGAGAGUUGAUGGGACAACGGAUCCUUCUCCAAAGCCUAUAGAAUGUCAACAGAAAGCUGAUGGGUCAACAGAUCCUUCUCAAAACCGUAUAGAAGGUCAAUGGAGAGCUGAUGGGGCAACGGAUCCUUCCCAAAACCGUAUAGAAGGUCAACGGAGAACUGAUGAGACAAAGGAUCCUUCUCAAAACCCUACAGAAGGUCAACAGAGAGUUGAUGGGACAAAGGAUCCCUCUCCAAAGCCUACAGAAGGUCAACGGAGAGAUGAUGGGUCAACAGAUCCUUCUCCAAAGCCUAGAGAAGGUCAACGGAGAGAUGAUGGGUCAACAGAUCCUUCUCCAAAGCCUAGAGAAGGUCAACGGAGAGCUGAUGGGUCAACAGAUCCUUCUCCAAUGCCUAGAGAAGGUCAACGGAGAGCUGAUGGGUCAACAGAUCCUUCUCCAAAGCCUAGAGAAGGUCAACGGAGGGCUGAUGGGUCAACGGAUCCUUCUCCAAAGCCUAUAGAAGUUCAACAGAGAGCUGAUGGGUCAACAGAUCCUUCUCAAACCCUAUAGAAGGGCC